AAGUCGUAACAAGGUUUCCGUAGGUGAACCUGCGGAAGGAUCAUUACCAAAUCCAAAUUUACCCCAACCCCGUGUGAACUAUUGUAACUAGUUUGUCUUUGGGAAGCUUAGGUAGAGACGGUGGAUUUUUUAUUAGGUCCCCGUGUUUGCCUGCUUCCCAAAUGAAUCCAGCACAUUGGUCUUGUGUAACCACAGGGUCUACUGGUCUGUGAUUCAAAACACCCUUUAAACCACUUGAUUUUCUGUUGGAAUUACUUUUUAUCAAUUAUUAAUAAAAAGACAACUUUUAACGGCGGAUCUCUUGGCUCGU
rnacentral:misc_RNA from 1 species